rnacentral:lncRNA from 1 species
AAAAAAAAACUUAUGGUUUAGGGGUGUAUUCUAUUGCUCUAGGUAUAGGCGCAUGAAAAAAUUGUCUACUUGAAUUCAUCUGUGAGAGAAUCUUUUCUAUUAUAGGGAUAUUUAGUUUGUAACUGAAAUAGAAAUUGAAAUGGAAAUCGGAAUCAGAAUGAUCAAAUCUUCCAAAGUAUUUGAUUCAUUGUUAGAAUUAGAAUUUAAAUAAAAAUUUAAAUUUUUAAGAAAGAAUG